ACUCUCCCGACUCACAGUCGGCCAAAUGAAUAUCUACCGAUUAUGGAUGACGAGCCAUCAAAACUAUAUCACAGAACAAGUACUAUCUCAAUUUCAAUGUCACUCAACUUUUCAUCGGUCUGAUAAGCGCAAACCACCGACUACCAGUCGAUAGGUCGACCAAAAAUUGAUUAUUCCCAACCUCCUCGAUAAACACCUCGACUACGAUGAUGCAAUUGACUUCAAACUGAUGACCAUCAGCAUAUCAGAGUAGCUGAUCGAUGGUCAUUCAGGCUUCUACAAUUAUCGACAUAUAGUCGACAUAUUCAGACUGCCGACAUAGAGUCGGUAUACC
rnacentral:lncRNA from 1 species